AUUGAACGCUAGCGGCAUGCCUUACACAUGCAAGUCGAACGAGUGGCGGACGGGUGAGUAAUAUAUGGGAACCUGCCUGAUAGCGGGGGAUAACUACUGGAAACGGUAGCUAAUACCGCAUACCAUCAGAUGGGCCCAUAUGGGAUUAGCUAGUAGGUGGGGUAACGGCUCACCUAGGCGACGAUCCCUAGCUGGUCUGAGAGGAUGACCAGCCACACUGGGACUGAGACACGGCCCAGACUCCUACGGGAGGCAGCAGUGGGGAAUAUUGGACAAUGGGGGAAAGCCUGAUACAGCCAGUCCGCGUGUAUGAAGAAGGCCUUCGGGUUGUAAAGUACUUUUAGCAGGGAGGCGGUACCGGCAGAAGAAGCACCGGCUAACUCCGUGCCAGCAGCCGCGGUAAUUC
rnacentral:rRNA from 1 species